ensembl:snoRNA SNORD58 Small nucleolar RNA SNORD58
UGGCGGUGAUGACUAUCUUAGGACACCUUUGGAAUAACUAUGAAAUAAAAUCUUCCUUCUGAGCCAU